CAUUUGGAUUUCAGUGUGCUACAACUUAGAUUUGAGCAAAUAAAUUACUUUGCGUUUGUGAAUAAUGUAGAUUUGAUGACAAUUUUUAUUUUUUUGGUUUGUUAUGGUUUUUUUGAGGUUUUGCAUCACUUGUGAUUGUUUCCUGCCACAUACGGAUUUGCAAUUUGUGCAAAAACAAAACUAUCAACUAAUUAUGCACCAGUAAAACUAUAAAUCGUGAAAUGGACCACGUAUAUUCAAAUAGUGCUCAUACAAAUUACUAAAGAAUGCAAUAGUUAUGUCAAACAAAAAAAUCUGCUCAUGUGAUACAAUGUCAGAAGAAAAAAAGAGAGAAGGCGUGGAAGCUCAGAGAGCACUCAAAAAUGGGGUUAACCCAUGGUAAACUACCUAGGUAGUGAGCAGAGAAGGAAAAAGACUUAGUGCUCUAAAUGUAAUAAAUUAAAAAUUAACUUUUAUUCAUAUAGAUAUAAAAAGAAAGGGAAGGGGGAGAAAACAAGGUACUAAAUAUAUGGGUGUAUAUCUAAAGUCUAAAAGUCGAAAAUACAUACACCAAUAUAAAUUGCUAAAUGGUUAAAAGACAAAAAAAGCUGGGUACGCGGUGCAGCAACUAAACCGCUACAAGUCACAAAAGAGAAUUAGAAUAAGUAGUUCACAUAAUGUAUAGGCGACUCUAAUGUGUAGAAUGUGAAAAUGAGCAGCGUAUAUUACUGGGACGCUAGUAGAAAUAUGUCAAUUAAACACAUGGUGCGUCAACGGUAUCAGGAGUAGAAG